AAAUUACAGGUUAAUAAGCAGAGCAGUUAUAAUUAAAAAAUCAUACUAGUGUACUGAGUUUGGUUCCAUGUUUUACACACCUUAAGCAGCGCAUGGCAGCAACAAUCCCAACAUGUUCAAAGUAUUUUAAAAACUCUCGUCGUCAUUUAAUUCUAUCUUGAACGACGAACACUAAUAGUUACAGUCUAGCAUUAGUUAUGCACAGAAAAUUUGUUCAAAGGUUCAGGAUUCUGUGAAACCAAGCAAAUAAAUUAUGGUAAGACCAUUACGAUUGACAACCGACAGAACCAACAACCUAAACACAACCACCUUGCCUCUAGAAAAUCCUCAAACCAAACCUCCUGUGUGAAGUCACCCCAGGUACGAGAGCGGCGUUGCAGAGGCCGAGCACCAGACAGCUCGUUAUCCCCUUCGUGGGUGUGGGCCUCGUGAUUCACUUCUGUCAGACCUUUUGAAAGUAUACGAGCCAAUAUACAUCUAGAUGAAUAGUGCAACUGUAUAUCAGUGAAUGAGAUAACACUGUUUGAUGCAUGUGAUGACUGAUUUGACUGCUCGAAAUCAAACACGGUGAAAUUAAGGCUCACCCUUCACGGAGGACAAAAGUAUCAAUAUUCUACUCUAUUCGGCCACCUCAUCAUUGCAUGUUGCAGCCAUGUCUCAUUCUGGGCAAUUUUCUGUAAAUGUACCGCCGCGCAUUUCUCUGUUUUUAUAAAACUAAUCCUCAAAGUAGUGUACAACUUGCUACUUACUAUGUCAAGAAAAUCUUAUAUUUUGAGACGGACAGAGUAAUUACUACCUUCGGCCGGGUUUACUAGUCAUCUCGCAUUUUAGGUCAUAUUUUAACAAUAACUUUAACUAAUAAAAUGAAACUCAUAUGUAGCAAAAGUCAUAUUAUUAAAAACUAAAUUCAAAUACAUAUUUUUAUGAGGUGCAUUAAUAUUUUAUUAGUCAAACAUGUGAUCAAAGUUUGAUCCAAAAUACAGUGAGGACUAAAAAACCUGCACGGAGGUUGUAAUUAGUUGUGCUUUUUUCAAAGCUCUUUCAAGAUGGUUCUUUUACCCCUAAGAGAUAAGAGAAAUAUUUGGUCAGAACCGCCCAUUCAUCAAGGUAUAUUUGACCACACAUAAUAUUAUGGCAAUUUAUUACCAAAAGGGAAAUAUUAAAAUAUUUGCCUCAUAUCUUUUUAUUUUAAUCUACUAAAAAAUCACAUUCAAUCCUCGUACGUCUAUGUUGUAUCUAUCAUAUGAAGAUAAAUAAUUCCCCUGAAAAAAGAUGGAUAAUUAUAAUGUUGUGGAAUAUGAUACAUAUCUAUGGAAUCCUAAAUAUUUGUAUAUACACUACAAUCUACAAAUGGCAUUAUUAUAAUUUGUCUAGAUUACAACCUAAUAAUCAUCACCAUAAUUAACAGUAUGUGUACUCGCAUUAUUAUGAGAGAGUUAGUAAAAAUUAGAUGUACACAUGUCAUGCUAGGAACGUGUUUGAAUUUUUAUUGUGUGAGAAAUACACUAAACUUUUCCGUUAUACAUUCUCUUCUCAAGGAAAUAAAAUGUGCAAGAACAUUGGUACACCUGGGUACUCUGUUAAAGAAAAAUACUGAUGGUAUUUUGUCUGCUUUUUGCUAUGAUUUUGUCAACUAUUAUUCAUUUACCAUGCAAAAGAAGAAAAACUAGUAUUCAUUUUUGGUGUUUUCUAGAAACAAUUUCUAUGCAUUCUCUAUUGUUUAGCUCCCAGCCAACAAAAUAAUACAUGCAUAAACAUAUAUCACAGAACUUGACAAACUUCUUAUUUCAUUUGUUAUAGACAUAAUGAUAAGGUACGUUCAGCAAAAGAAAAUAGUUGGGGAAAAUCAGCUAAACAAAUAAUUGGCAAAAAAUCUGGCAUUAUUUAGAUCUGUUAUUUUUUUUCCUAUGUAUGCAAGGUUUUAAAGAAAGGGAAUAAAUUAUAAUAAUUUUUCCUUAAUUAUACCGCAACAAUGUCUAACCCACAUCCCAUUAUCAAUGGUCUAUUACCUCCUAUUACAUGUUGUAUCAACCAUUAGUUCAUUAAAAUUUAACAGUCCAUAAUGAUCUGGACCACCAUAAAAUUUUCCUAAAAAACUGUUGUGCCGCCGUUCAGAGUAGCACCAUCCAGCGUUUUUCCCUCUCUAAAAGUUCUCCUUAAUCCAAUCUUAAGUGUAUCCGAUGAUUAAGUAUAAACCAAAACACCUGUCGUUCUGCAAAGAAGACAUGAUGACACUGUACUAGCAUGUGCCUACUGCCAGCCACCUGCUUUCGGCCCAGAUUGGAAGUACCUCUUGCAUGGGGCCUAUCCUAGAGUACGGUGAUAUACGGCCUUGAAGUUGGGGCUGUAAUUGCAAUACGUCUAGCAACACAUAUCCCCAUGCUAAUUCGGCGGGUGGGAUUCAGAGUUGCAGACCGGCCUCUGCAACUCUUUUUCGCCCCAGGUACAUUGAUGAACAUUUUUUCCCAAACAACCAUCAUCAAAGUUUUACUCCAAACAAAUCAUCUCCCAAUCAAAACAAUCCUUUGAAUUGCACUGGAUCAAAACUCAUCAAACAGAAAUGGUUAUACUGAAUCCAACAUCACUA
rnacentral:lncRNA from 1 species